rnacentral:Y_RNA from 1 species
UGCUGGUCCAAGGUAAUAACUUAAUUGAUUGUUCACAACCAGUUACAGAUCAAACGGCUUCUAGAACUCUUCUCCCCCUUCUCACUAAUGCACUGGCUAGUCUUUA